AGCAGUAGCCGCGGUAAAACGGAGGGGGCUAGCGUCGUUCGGAAUUACUGGGCGUAAAGCGCACGUAGGCGGCUUUGUAAGUUAGAGGUGAAAGCCUGGAGCUCAACUCCAGAAUUGCCUUUAAGACUGCAUCGCUUGAGUCGCGGAGAGGUGAGUGGAAUUCCGAGUGUAGAGGUGAAAUUCGUAGAUAUUCGCAAGAACACCAGUGGCGAAGGCGGCUCACUGGCCCGAUACUGACGCUGAGGCACGAAAGCGUGGGGAGCAAACAGGAUUAGAUACCCCAGUAGUCCCUGUCUCUUAUAC
rnacentral:rRNA from 1 species